rnacentral:rRNA from 1 species
UACGUAGGGGCCUAGCGUUGUCCGGAAUUAUUGGGCGUAAAGAGCUCGUAGGCGGUUCGGCAAGUCGGAUGUGAAAUCUCCACGCUUAACGUGGAGGGGCCAUUCGAAACUGCCGUGACUCGAGUCCGGUAGGGGAGUGUGGAAUUCCCGGUGUAGCGGUGAAAUGCGUAGAGAUCCGGAAGAACACCGGUGGCGAAGGCGGCCUGCUGGGCAGUUGCUGACACUGAGGCGCGACAGCGUGGGGGAGCAAACAGG